AUGACGACGAGGAGGUGGUGUGCUUUAUCUGCUUCGACGGGGGCAGCCUCGUGGUUUGCGACCGCAGGGGCUGCUCCAAGGUGUACCAUCCUGCCUGCAUCAAGCGUGACGAGUCGUUUUUCCGCUCCCGUGGCAAGUGGAAUUGUGGUGAUGGUUGAUUUUGAUGAUAAAAAUAGUUGGGAAUAUCUCUUCAAAUUAUAUUGGCUGGAUGUAAAAGGGAAGCAUUUAUUAACAUUGGAAGAACUAGUUAGUGCCAAAAGCAAUUGGACUGUUCGAAGCAUUUCUGCUAGGAGAGAAAAAGAGGAGUCAUCUGGUGAGCGAUAUGAAGCAAACAAUGACCAUAAUGUCAGUUCUGACAGCUCUUCGAGGAAACGAAGUCGGGGUACUUCUUUAAGGAAAAGGGGGCGGAAGCGUCAAAAUCAUAGUCUUAAUACUGCAAGGAACUGUGAAAUUUCAAUUGAAGGUUCCGAAAGCUUACCCAAGGGAGCACCAUUUGAAGGCAUGGAUUUGUCGGGUGACACGAAAUGGGCCUCACCGGAGCUGCUGGAAUUCAUUGGGCACAUGAGAAAUGGCGAUGUGUCCCAAAUUUCCCAAUUUGAUGUUCAGGUUCUGUUGCUUGAGUAUAUAAAGCAAAAUAAUCUUCGCGACCCUCGCAAAAAAAGUCAAAUUAUUUGUGAUGCAAGGCUUAGUAGUCUGUUUAGGAAACCACGUGUUGGUCAUUUUGAGAUGUUAAAACUUUUGGAGAUCCAUCUUCAUGUGAAAGAGACUCCAGCAAUAAAUGGUGAUACCCAAUUAGCCCGUGAGCCAGAUUCAGCACAAGUAGAUAGUGGAGGACAUAGUGAGAUGGGAACUAAGUUAAGCUCUGAUAAGAGGAGGAAGACUCAUAAGAAGCUUGAAAGAGAUCUACCAGCUAAUCUGGAGGAUUAUGCAGCCAUUGACAUGCAUAACAUCAAUUUAAUAUACUUACGCCGCAGCUUGAUGGAGGAUAUCAUUGAUGAUGUUGCUACAUUCUCUGAGAAGAUUACUGGUGCUUUUGUGAGGAUAAGAAUUCCGGGUUCUGGCCAAAAGCAAGAUAUGUAUCGCCUAGUCAAAGUUCUUGGUACACAUAAAGUUGCAGAACGAUACAGUGUUGGUAAGAAGACAACAGACUGUGCACUUGAGAUAUCAAACUUAGAUAAGAAGGAAGUGAUCACAAUGGAUACGAUCUCAAAUCAGGAUUUCACGCAGGAUGAAUGCAAACGCUUACGCCAGAGCAUGAAGUAUGGUCUAAUUCCUCGACUUAAAGUGGGAGACAUAUAUGAGAUAGCCAAAAGCUUCCAAUCUCUGCAAAUUAAUGAUUGGUUGGUAAAUGAAAAGCAGAGGCUGAGCCAUCUCCGUGACCGUGCUAGCGAAACUGGACGCCGAAAAGAUGUGAAGAUCUUGUUUUGGUCCUUGAUUGUUUGGUCACGGCUUUGCAUGCAUAUGCUCACCAUAGCCUGA
rnacentral:rRNA from 1 species